CUGGCGGCAGGCCUAACACAUGCAAGUCGAGCGGUAGAGAGGUGCUUGCACCUCUUGAGAGCGGCGGACGGGUGAGUAAUACCUAGGAAUCUGCCUGGUAGUGGGGGAUAACGUUCGGAAACGGACGCUAAUACCGCAUACGUCCUACGGGAGAAAGCAGGGGACCUUCGGGCCUUGCGCUAUCAGAUGAGCCUAGGUCGGAUUAGCUAGUUGGUGAGGUAAUGGCUCACCAAGGCUACGAUCCGUAACUGGUCUGAGAGGAUGAUCAGUCACACUGGAACUGAGACACGGUCCAGACUCCUACGGGAGGCAGCAGUGGGGAAUAUUGGACAAUGGGCGAAAGCCUGAUCCAGCCAUGCCGCGUGUGUGAAGAAGGUCUUCGGAUUGUAAAGCACUUUAAGUUGGGAGGAAGGGCAUU
rnacentral:rRNA from 1 species